rnacentral:rRNA from 1 species
AUGCAAGUCGAGCGGAAACGAAGAGGUGCUUGCACCUCUGGCGUCGAGCGGCGGACGGGUGAGUAAUGCUUGGGAAUAUGCCUUAUGGUGGGGGACAACAGUUGGAAACGACUGCUAAUACCGCAUGAUGUCUACGGACCAAAGUGGGGGACCUUCGGGCCUCACGCCAUAAGAUUAGCCCAAGUGGGAUUAGCUAGUUGGUGAGGUAAUGGCUCACCAAGGCGACGAUCCCUAGCUGGUUUGAGAGGAUGAUCAGCCACACUGGGACUGAGACACGGCCCAGACUCCUACGGGAGGCAGCAGUGGGGAAUAUUGCACAAUGGGCGCAAGCCUGAUGCAGCCAUGCCGCGUGUGUGAAGAAGGCCUUCGGGUUGUAAAGCACUUUCAGUAAGGAGGAAAGGUUAAGUGUUAAUAGCACUUAGCUGUGACGUUACUUACAGAAGAAGCACCGGCUAACUCCGUGCCAGCAGCCGCGGUAAUACGGAGGGUGCGAGCGUUAAUCGGAAUUACUGCGCGUAAAGCGUACGCAG